UAAUUGCAGGCUAGCCUGCAUCUGUGUCCCUCCUGCGGCUGUCAGGAGCCAUUGUGGCCUGCCCCAGGACAUCUCACCCAUUUCCAGGCAGGUGACCCUGAGCAAGCUGGGCACUCAGCAUAGAGUCCACACAGAUCUAUCCGAAUGCGGCUUCUGAGGUGGAUGAGGUGCAAACUCCAUGAGGCCAGAGGUCCUGUCUGCUCAUUCUACCCCAGUGUCUGUGAAUGAAACUUCAUCAGGGUUGACUCUGAGCUGACAGGAUCCAAAGUGAGAGAGGAGGAAACAAGAGAUAUAUGCAGAUCUCACUUCUCAUCCAAGAUCUCCUCUUUGCAGCCAACAGAACCUGUUAGAGAGAUCAAUUGACCCAAAUGCAGAGAAUCAGUGACCAUGAGGCGCUUAUCCCCACAUGGGACAUUUAUAAUACAACCUCCCAACACUCGGGGAACAUUUUGGAAGAGGGGCUGGGAAGAUCGUAAAAGCCUGAGGCCCAGGGUCUGCUGUGAGAUCCGGACAAAGGUGUUAUGUCCGUGAACUCUCAAAAACAUGGCUACUUGUAUAAGACCGGCAUGAGAACAUCUCAGGCGACAUGCCAAAAUGAAUGGAGGAAAAUUUCACAAGCAACCCUAGACGAAGAGCCUACAGAUGAACAGGCCGAGUCAAUGACUGCUGAGAGGUGGAGAAAACAGGACUGGGGGAGAUGAUCCCUAAAUAUAUGAACACCCAGGCAACACUAACUGGAUGCAGAAACUGUGUGUGUGUGUGUGUGUGUGUGUGUGUGUGUGUGUGUGUGUGUGUGUGUGUGUGAAUGAAA